rnacentral:rRNA from 1 species
GACGAACGCUGGCGGCGUGCCUAAUACAUGCAAGUCGAGCGGACCUCUUCGGAGGUCAGCGGCGGACGGGUGAGUAACACGUGGGCAACCUGCCUGUAAGACUGGGAUAACUUCGGGAAACCGGAGCUAAUACCGGAUAAUCCUUUCUGACUCAUGUCGGGAAGCUGAAAGACGGUUUCGGCUGUCACUUACAGAUGGGCCCGCGGCGCAUUAGCUAGUUGGUGGGGUAAUGGCCGACCAAGGCGACGAUGCGUAGCCGACCUGAGAGGGUGAUCGGCCACACUGGGACUGAGACACGGCCCAGACUCCUACGGGAGGCAGCAGUAGGGAAUCUUCCGCAAUGGACGAAAGUCUGACGGAGCAACGCCGCGUGAGCGAAGAAGGCCUUCGGGUCGUAAAGCUCUGUUGUCAGGGAAGAACAAGUAUCGGAGUAACUGCCGGUACCUUGACGGUACCUGACCAGAAAGCCACGGCUAACUACGUGCCAGCAGCCGCAGUAAUAC